CCCUUUUGGAAUCACUUAUAUGGUUAUGAAUUCAUUUUACUUUCCCAAUUCUCCACACUCUUUACAAAUAUUUCAUUCCUUACAAACCCGCCGUGCACAAAUCGACCUUGUCCUCAAGGUCGGAGCUGGUCGACAAACUCUGGAAAACAACUUGAAAUGUAACCCCAAUCCUUCCAAGUAGUUGAAUCUGGUCCUAAAUUCGCCCAUUAUACCAAGACCUUCACCCUAACGACGUUGUUCAACUUAAAUAGUUUUCUCUGGAGUAUAGCCACCGGUUGCACAAGUAUUCAACCAUCUGAACCGCAGGCAGGAGGUUGUUGUUGAGCUACCAGAUUGGACCCUACCAGUUUCUUUAACUUUGAAACAUAAAAGAUGGGAUGGAUCAGAUAUCCCGAGGGAAGAUCCAUGAGAGGACACACCCAUCAACAAUAGGAGUGGAAGGAGGUGCUACGUAACUAGGACUCAUGUGGUGUACUGUGGUUGUACUUGCAUAAGAGUCCAAUUACUGAACAGUCCCUUCCUCAAUUUGAUAAUAUUCCUUCUUAUGUUCGAUAAGGAUGGAAGAUCAAUGAUGUUUCACAUAAUACUUAUCUUUUAAAAUCUUUCUUUUUAUUUUUAUCUAUCACGGGUCAAUUCUUUUUAUGUUA